UGCGUAGGCUGUGCAGAAAGUUGGGUGUGAAAUCCCUCGGCUUAACCGAGGAACGGCGCCCAAAACUACUGUGCUCGAGUGAGAUAGAGGUGAGCGGAACUUAGGGUGGAGCGGUGAAAUGCGUUGAUAUCCUAAGGAACACCGGUGGCGAAAGCGGCUCACUGGGUCUCAACUGACGCUGAGGCACGAAAGCUAGGGUAGCGAACG
rnacentral:rRNA from 1 species